rnacentral:rRNA from 1 species
GAUGAACGCUGGCGGUCUGCUUAACACAUGCAAGUCGAACGGAAUCCUUCGGGAUUUAGUGGCGGACGGGUGAGUAACACGUGAGAAUCUGCACUCAGGAUGGGGACAACAGCGGGAAACUGCUGCUAAUACCCAAUGUGCCGAAAGGUAAAAGAUUUAUCGCCUGAGAAUGAGCUCGCGGCCGAUUAGUUAGUUGGUGGGGUAAUGGCCUACCAAGACGGCGAUCGGUAGCUGGUCUGAGAGGAUGAGCAGCCACACUGGGACUGAGACACGGCCCAGACUCCUACGGGAGGCAGCAGUGGGGAAUUUUCCGCAAUGGGCGCAAGCCUGACGGAGCAAGACCGCGUGGGGGAGGAAGGCUCUUGGGUUGUAAACCCCUUUUCUCAAGGAAGAACAAAAUGACGGUACUUGAGGAAUCAGCCUCGGCUAACUCCGUGCCAGCCGCCGCGGUAAUAC